rnacentral:rRNA from 1 species
GGNNGGGGGACANACANAAGGGGGUUAAGAAUUCCGUAUGGGGAGAGCGUUUGGCAAGAUUNAAAANUCAAAAGGGAUNGNGGGGGGCCCCGNANCAAAGCGGUGGGAGNANGNGGNNAAAUUGGAAGCAACGCGGCAGAACGUUACCAACCANGACAUCCNGGGAANAUCCAGAGNNGGANGGUUCCUUUGGGGGACGCAGGNGACAGGUGCUGCCUGGCUGUGGUCAGGUCGUGUCGUGAGAUGUUCGGUUAAGUCCGGCAACGAGCGCAACCCACAUCCCUAGUUGCCAGCAGUUCGGCUGGGCACUCUAUGGAAACUGCCCGUGAUAAGCGGGAGGAAGGUCUGGAUGAGCUCAAGUCCUCGUGGCCCUUACGGGUUGGGCUACACACGUGCUACAAUGGUAGUGACAAUGGGUUAAUCCCAAAAAGCUAUCUCAGUUCGGAUUGUCGUCUGCAACUCGACGGCAUGAAGUCGGAAUCGCUAGUAAUCGCGUAACAGCAUGACGCGGUGAAUACGUUCCCGGGCCUU